CACGUAGGCCCCAAGCGUUGUCCGGAUUUAUUGGGCGUAAAGGGCGCGUAGGCGGGAUGGCAAGUCGGUCGUGAAAUCCCUCGGCUCAACUGAGGAUCGUCGAUCGAUACUGCCGUUCUUGAGGAUUGCAGAGGAGACUGGAAUUCCCGGUGUAGCGGUGAAAUGUGUAGAGAUCGGGAGGAACACCGGUGGCGAAGGCGGGUCUCUGGGCAAUUCCUGACGCUGAGGCGCGAAAGCGUGGGGAGCAAACGGG
rnacentral:rRNA from 1 species